rfam:Cariama cristata contig53695, whole genome shotgun sequence.
CCAAAGGAUUUUUUCAUCUUGCAUAAAAUCCACCAUUAGAUAUUUCAGAUUAAACU